rnacentral:rRNA from 1 species
AAGCAUGGGUAGCGAAGAGGAUUAGAUACCCUCGUAGUCCAUGCCGUAAACGAUGUGUGUUAGACGUUGGAAAUUUAUUUUCAGUGUCGCAGGGAAACCGAUAAACACACCGCCUGGGGAGUACGACCGCAAGGUUAAAACUCAAAUGAAUUGACGGGGACCCGCACAAGUAGUGGAGCAUGUGGUUUAAUUCGAAGAUACGCGCAGAACCUUACCAACACUUGACAUGUUCGUCGCGACUCUAAGAGAUUAGAGUUUUCGGUUCGGCCGGACGAAACACAGGUGCUGCAUGGCUGUCGUCAGCUCGUGUCGUGAGAUGUUGGGUUAAGUCCCGCAACGAGCGCAACCCUCACUUUUAGUUGCCAUCAUUAAGUUGGGCACUCUGAAAGAACUGCCAGUGAUAAGCUGGAGGAAGGUGGGGAUGACGUCAAGUCCUCAUGGCCCUUACGUGUUGGGCUACACACGUGCUACAAUGGUAUCUACAACAGGAAGCAAGACUGCGAAGUUAAGCAAAUCCCUAAAAGAUACCUCAGUUCGGAUUGCACUCUGCAACUCGAGUGCAUGAAGCUGGAAUUACUAGUAAUCGUGGAUCAGCGUGCCACGGUGAAUGCGUUCCCGGGUCUUGUACACACCGCCCGUCACACCAUGGGAGUUGGUUCUACCUUAAGGCAAGGUUUAAAACCCUUGACCACGGUAUAGUCAGCGACUGGGGUGAAGUCGUAACAAGGUAGCCGUAGGGGAACCUGCGGCUG